rnacentral:rRNA from 1 species
GACAGAGGUGCCGAGCGUUUAGGCGGAAUCACUGGGCUUAAAGCGUGUGUAGGCGGAUCGUUAAGUGCCUUGUGAAAUCCCACGGCUCAACCGUGGAACUGCUUGGCAUACUGGCGAUCUUGAGCCACUUAGGGGCUACCGGAACAAAUGGUGGAGCGGUGAAAUGCGUAGAUAUCAUUUGGAACGCCAAUGGUGAAAACAGGUAGCUGGGAGUGUGCUGACGCUGAGACACGAAAGCCAGGGGAGCAAACGGG